UGUUGUUCCGCAAAUCAAGUCUGAUCCUUGUAUGUCUCACUGAACAUUACAGUAACAGUAUUGACACCUAAUGACCAUGUAGAAUACUACAUUUCUCAAUGUCUUUGAAUGUAUCUUUUGAAUGCCUUAUUUUUGUAUUUUAGUUCAUCUAGUCCUUUUUAUGCUUGAAAAUGCUUCAUUUAAUAAAAAACACAUAAUAUAUUUGUUUUUUUUUUUACUCAUAACAGGCCGUAUUAAACUACAAAACAGCAUGAUUUAUUAAUGAAGAUAUUUUGAAAAAUUGGGAUAGAGUGAAACCCCAAAAUUCAAACAACAGCGUGGCGAUUGACGACUGUAUAUCCAAAGUCCCUUGCGAAGAUGUGAUAAAACGCUUGCUAAAAUGUGUACAACGCUUUCUUUUGGGAAAAUCCUGAGGUUCUGAAUGCAAUGGAACUACAGUACAUGUUGGAUAAAAGCAACAAGCUGGCAACAACAUUUCACUACAACUUUUCUGUCCAGGAAACUAUUGGUAUUUUUUUUGCAGCACCAGCAGAGGAAACAGAAGGUAACAGAGAGGAAAUGGAUUAUUACGAGGAAUACGGCAGAUGGGGUGAAGUUUGCGUCAAAGUUUUUGAAAGAAUGACAGAUGGCUUUGCAGGACAGCCAACAAGGCAGACUAGUACAGCGAGGACUUGCCAAGUUGUUCUGGGACCAACUGGUGGAAACACUACAGAACUGAUGGUAUUCCAAGACAUGAAGCAACACCAAAGACAGAACCAAACAACUCAAGACGUCUCUUCAAAACAUCUGGAAAACGGUGGUUUUCUCCAGCAGACCAGAACGGUUAGCGUGGGGCGUGCAAGCUUCAAACUGGAGAUGGAACUGCAGUUCUGAAGAGUUCCUAAGUGUGACAAGUGAUGGCCGGAUGAGGAUUGUAGCACUAACGCUCUCCUAUGAGAAAGAAACCACAAAUAGAUGACAUUACCCUUCACACUGCAUGGAAAAUGGCUACUGAGGCAGCAGAGCCAGUCGACAUAAGGCUGAGGACAUGCCAUUGCUGAGAACCAAUGAAAAAAGGUUCUCCUCUCAUUCCGUGUGGAAGUGGAGAAAAAAAGCUGCGGCUGACACACACGUUGAGCUGCGUGUCCAGGCUUUUUUUUGUGAGCAUUUACAAGGGUCGCGGGGGUAUGCUGGAGCCUAUCCCAGCUGACUGCAGGCGAGAGGCGGGGUACACCCUGGACUGGUCCCCAGCUAACGCAGGAAUGUACUAUAAACAAAGAAAUCGAAUAAAACUGAUGGUUUCAUGCAUAUAAAAUGGACAACAGGACCUCCAAGGCUGAUUUGUUAUCAUUUUCUCUACAGCCGUGAGCAGCACAGCUCUGUGUUGAGGGUCUCUGAUGUUCAGCUCGUCCAGGUCCUCCUCCUCCAGCAGCUUGAAGGUGUCAAGGUCCUCGUAGCCGUUGAACAGGAAUGUGGGCAUGUGUUCCUGCACAACAUCAGCACACUUUGUAGCGCUUGUGAGAACAAGACAGCGUGGAGACGAGAGGAAAGUGACUGACUCAUUCCUACCCAACAAAUGUAAAUAUUAUUUUUAUUCCAUCCAGCAAUGUUGAUGAAGCUCACUUCAAAAGCGUACGCUGCUGACGAGCACACACAGCAAGUUAUGUCAAGGCAGCUGUGCAAAUGCACGAGCAGCACGAGAUGGGAGCUCGUUGGGAACAAAAAGGCCAUCAACACAACGUGCAGACACACUAAAGCUCUUUACACAAGCCGCUUUGAUACGAGAGAGGACGCCCACUGAGAAAAAUGUUUCAAAUGUAGAAGGACGCCCGCCCUUGAAGCAAACCCUGCCAGCAAUGUCGAAUACGGAUUUGUUCCUGUGACUGCACGACUACGCCAUGUCAAAUAUUUGUCAAGACUAUUUGUCCUUCACGGUGCGCUGCGGUGGAAGGUCUGGCACGCCGGGCAUCCCACCUUGAGGUUGAUGCGUUCCAGCAGCUCCUCCACGGACGUCGGCUUGGGUGGUCUGCCCUUCCUCCGCCUCCUCACCGGCCGCUUGGGCUUCUCCUCUUCCUCGCUCAGCACAUCCACGUAGAUGAACUUGAAGGUGCCCACCUUGUUGUUGAGCAGGCCCAUCCAGGUGCCCAUGGGCGGCUUGCUGAUGAUGUCGAUCACGUCGCCCCGCUGGAAAGUGAGCCACACAAGGAGGUCAUCCCCUUUAUAGCCAUAACUAGCGAGGGCUGGUCGUUUAUCGGCUGAUUACAAAUGAGACAUCGGAUCAAAUAUCGACAAGAAAUAACAAAACAGAAACAAUGCACCGUCCUAAUUCAAAAAUAAAUACUAUAUUUUAUUUAAAUGAAUUUAAUUUUCAUGGUAAUCAAUGAAAUUGUAAUGAAUUAAACGUAAUUGUAUUCAUUAAUUGUAUUGAUAUAUUUGAUUUAUUUGAUUAAUGAAGCUGAAAAGUUAGUAACAUCUAAUUUUGUCUUUAAACGCAUGUAACUUUUUUAAGGCUUUCUUUCUACAGCAUAAAAAUAUAAUAAAAAUAUGAAAACGGCCAAAUGCAUCCUUCAGUCUUUCACCACGCAGCCGUCGGUUGGAUUCUCAAACUGUGGUGCAAACACCACUGGUGCAAGGCGGGAGCUGUAGCGGUGGUAUCCAAGAAGCAACGAAAACCCAAUGAUUUUAGGAAUAUACAGUAUUUAUGAAAUAUCUCCCAAAUAAUCAUAAAAAACAGCGUAUUCACCAAAGGUAGCAAAAGCGGUGCUACUUGCAAAGCUAGAUAUUUUGAAGGAUGCACGUGGUGUAAAAAGGAUCAGGCUACGGCACAUAAAAGUUGCUCAGCCAAACAAUCGUCAACUACAGUUGCUCUCACCUUCAGUUUGAGGGAGUCUGUGUCGUAAGGGCUCGGCGUGAAGUCCGUGUGGACUCGUGCGCGGCCGCAGAACGGACCCCUGUAAGGCGGUUCCUCGUCAUCGCCGUCCUCCGACUUGACACU